rnacentral:rRNA from 1 species
UCCGUAGGUGAACCUGCGGAAGGAUCAUUGCAAAUCAGUUAAUUUUAUUAACAUACGCACAGCACUUUGCUGAUGUAUACGCUUGUUUGUUUGACAAAUUGAAUAAUUAUUGAUAAUGACAACUUUUAACAAUGGAUCUCUUGGCUCUUGCAACGAUGAAGAACGCAGUAAAGUGCGAUAUGUAGUGCAAUUUGCAUGAAUCUGUGAGUCAUCUAAUCUUUGAACGCAACUUGCGCCGGGAUCCGGCAUGUUUGUUCGAGGGCCGCAAUAAAGAAUAAUGCGUGAGCAUAAAGUGACCUUUGUCGUUUUGACUGGGUUGAAACAGAGUCAGUAAAUGGCAGUAGUGUGUCAAGCCGAGUGCUAAGCAUUCUUGGCUCAACCACACUCAACCAUCAGAUCAUUCGAUCUCAUCUCUCUGGCCUCGAAUCAAGCAAGAUUACCCGCUGAACUUAA